GGCAGUAGCUCAGCUGGAUAGAGCACGGGCCUUCUAAGCCUGAGGUCGGGGGUUCGAGCCCCUCCUGCC
rnacentral:tRNA from 2 species